UGGGGAAUUUUGCGCAAUGGGCGAAAGCCUGACGCAGCAACGCCGCGUGAGUGAUGAAGGCUUUCGGGUCGUAAAGCUCUGUCAAGGGGAAAGAAGUGUAUUGCGGUUAAUACCCGCGAUACUUGACGGUACCCCUAAAGGAAGCACCGGCUAACUCCGUG
rnacentral:rRNA from 1 species